rnacentral:misc_RNA from 1 species
GAUUCCAAUGCUUCAGUGAUUCUGUAAGUCCUUUGAUUUGCACAUUCAUCAACUAUGAUUUGUUAAAAAAAAUAAAGGAGAAAAGGAAGAUAAACAUAGUGCAAAAGUUGAAAUCUCUCCUAAGCAGGGGAUUCUUAUCUCACAAAAUUGGACAAACUAAUUGAAAUGAUUUUCUGUAGUUCUUUUAUAUUUCUUUCUUUUGCAGCUUAUAUAUUUUCAAUGUGCAUUUUGUUUGGUGUGAGACUUGUGAUAACAAGCAGGUUUGCUAAAUGUUAAUUUCUGGAUGAUAAAAUGGAAGCACCGUGAAGUUAAGGGAAUAAUUUUUGCAUUAUUAAAGAUAAGACAAUAAUAAUAAUAAAAUUCUUUUUUCUUUUAAGGGCUGACAAAGGAGACUCAAUUAA